CGGGUUAGAGUCAGAUUGGUUACGACGUUCCAUUUGGGGUGGAAUUUUUCUGUGUUCGAGUCACAGUAACCCGA
rnacentral:tRNA from 1 species